UUGAACGCUGGUGGCAUGCUUAACACAUGCAAGUCGAACGGAGUUAUUUUUAGCUUGCUAGAGAUAAUCGAGUGGCGGACGGGUGAGUAAUACAUAGGAAUCUAGCCUUUAGAGGGGGACAACUUAGGGAAACUUAAGCUAAUACCGCAUGAAGUCUACGGAUAAAAGCUGGCGCGAGCUGGCGCUAGAGGAUGAGCCUAUGUCGGAUUAGCUAGUUGGGAGGGUAAAGGCCUACCAAGGCGACGAUCCGUAGCUGUUCUGAGAGGAAGAUCAGCCACACUGGGACUGAGACACGGCCCAGACUCCUACGGGAGGCAGCAGUGGGGAAUAUUGGACAAUGGGGGCAACCCUGAUCCAGCAAUGCCACGUGUGUGAAGAAGGCCUGAGGGUUGUAAAGCACUUUUGUCGGGGAAGAAGUUAACGAGGUUAAGAGCUAGGUUAAUUGACAUUACCCGAAGAAAAAGCACCGGCUAACUCUGU
rnacentral:rRNA from 1 species